rnacentral:rRNA from 1 species
GAUGAACGCUGGCGGCGUGCCUAAUACAUGCAAGUAGAACGCUGAAGGAGGAGCUUGCUCUUCUGGAUGAGUUGCGAACGGGUGAGUAACGCGUAGGUAACCUGCCUGGUAGCGGGGGAUAACUAUUGGAAACGAUAGCUAAUACCGCAUGACAACAGUUAUUGCAUGAUAACUGUUUAAAAGGGGCAACUGCUCCACUACCAGAUGGACCUGCGUUGUAUUAGCUAGUUGGUGAGGUAACGGCUCACCAAGGCGACGAUACAUAGCCGACCUGAGAGGGUGAUCGGCCACACUGGGACUGAGACACGGCCCAGACUCCUACGGGAGGCAGCCGUAGGGAAUCUUCGGCAAUGGACGGAAGUCUUACCGAGCAACGCCGCGGGAGUGAAGAAGGGUUUCGGAUCGUAAAGCUCUGUUGUAAGAGAAGAACGAGUGUGAGAGUGGAAAGUUCACACUGUGACGGUACCUUACCAGAAAGGGACGGCUAACUACGUG